UACGUAGGUGGCAAGCGUUGUCCGGAUUUACUGGGCGUAAAGAGCGCGCAGGCGGUCGUUCAAGUCGCGUGUGAAAGCCCCCCGGCUCAACUGGGGAGGGUCACGCGAUACUGAUCGACUCGAAGGCAGGAGAGGGAAGUGGAAUUCCCGGUGUAGUGGUGAAAUGCGUAGAUAUCGGGAGGAACACCAGUGGCGAAGGCGACUUCCUGGCCUGUUCUUGACGCUGAGGCGCGAAAAGCUAGGGGGAGCAAACGGGG
rnacentral:rRNA from 1 species